GAUGAACGCUGGCGGCGUGCCUAAUACAUGCAAGUCGAGCGAACAGACGAGGAGCUUGCUCCUCUGACGUUAGCGGCGGACGGGUGAGUAACACGUGGAUAACCUACCUAUAAGACUGGGAUAACUUCGUGAAACCGGAGCUAAUACCGGAUAACAUGUUGAACCGCAUGGUUUAACAGUGAAAGACGGUCUUGCUGUCACUUAUAGAUGGAUCCGCGCCGCAUUAGCUAGUUGGUAAGGUAACGGCUUACCAAGGCAACGAUGCGUAGCCGACCUGAGAGGGUGAUCGGCCACACUGGAACUGAGACACGGUCCAGACUCCUACGGGAGGCAGCAGUAGGGAAUCUUUCGCAAUGGGCGAAAGCCUGACGGAGCAACGCCGCGUGAGUGAAGAAGGUCUUCGGAUCGUAAAACUCUGUUAUUAGGGAAGAACAAAUGUGUAAGUAACUAUGCACGUCUUGACGGUACCUAAUCAGAAAGCCACGGCUAACUACGUG
rnacentral:rRNA from 1 species